CCUGAACCCAACUCGAGAACGAGGAAGUGGUGCUCCCAGGACGAACAGAAAGACGUGUUCACCAGUUGUAGAUGUUGGAAUUGCACCACUGUUGAUGUGUUCAGCAUUUCGGGGCGACCGGCGUAAAAGGCCACCACCGGAGCCAGCUUGGUGACGCCGUCCAUUUGACAGUCCACAUCACAGCCUGAAAAAACAACAAAAAACAUUGAACAUCAGCUCAAAGAGCAUCCACAUUUCUGAUGAAAGCUUUCAGGCUCCCAUUCCUCCAAGGACCAUCAAUAGGAAGGACCGCUUUGGGACCUAGAAGUUUACAACAGGCUUGUCAGUUUGUCAGAUCUAUUCAUAGUGGGACUGGAUUGUUACAAGCGGCAGUUGGAUAUUGCAAUAAACGACAGGAUAUUACAGUUACACUAGGUGAUGGAAAUGUCAGAAGACAUUGCGUGUGAAUGCUUAAGAGAUGAAGAGCUGAAGAAAACACUGAAAUGCCUUGAAAAGACACGAAUGUCAAAAUGCAGAAUGAAUAUCCGAGUUGUUUGUAAGAGGAAGAGCUGAAAUGUGCUGUAAUGUAAAAUGAAUGUAUGAAUGAUAGGCCUACCUAGCAUGAUAGCACUAAAUAUUUAUAUACAUUUCUACUGAUGAAAACGGCUAAAAUACUACUAUGCUAACAUGUUAACAUUAGCAUGCAACAUCUAGCAUGGUAGCACUAAGUGAUUGCCAAUGUUAACAUGAAUGAAAAUGGCUAAAAAUGCUGCUACAUUAACGUUAGCAUGCUAACACAUGGUGUUUCUAUGAGUUCUGCUUAUAAAACCGGCUAAAAUGUUACUCUGCUAAUGUAAGCAUGUUAGCAAUGCUAACGUUAACAUACAAAACCUAGCAUGAUAGUGCUCGGUGUCUGCCAAUGGUAACACUAAUGGACAAUUGAUAAAAAUGCUACUUUGAUAAUGUUAGCAUGCUAGCAAUGCUAACAUUUGCAUGCUAAAACUUAGCAUGAUUGCACUAAGUGUUUCCAUAAGGUGUACUUAUAAAAACGGCUAAAAAGGGUACUAUGCUAACAAAAAUGACUGAAAAGAAUACAAUGCUUACGUUAGCAUGCUGUGUACCAUACCUCCUUUCUUGCGGUAAGGAUCGUUGAGCGGGAGGUCGUACACCGUCCCUGGGCCAAAGAACUUGUAGAUACGUCGAGUCAGAUCCUCCACAUUGACGUCUGCCAACACACGUUUGUUUUCAAAUACCUCUUAGUCCCAUUUAUUAUUAUUUUUUUAUAAACUGUAAAACAUUUGUGGCCUUUCCUUUUAUUUGUAUGUGAAGUGCAUGCGCCCUAUCCUUCUCCAGAGAAACUUCUUUAAUUUUUUGGAAAAGUUUGAUCACCUUCUGUUGUAAACAACAUGCUGACUUGUCAGCAUCCAGCUGGCUGCAGCUUCAUCAUUCAUAAAUGCAGUAUGAAUUGUAGAAAGAGACUGUAUUAUCAUUUUGACCUCUCCCUUUAUCCAC